UACAGAGGUCUCAAGCGUUGUUCGGAUUCAUUGGGCGUAAAGGGUGCGUAGGCGGCGCGGUAAGUCGGGUGUGAAAUCUCGGAGCUUAACUCCGAAACUGCAUUCGAUACUGCCGUGCUUGAGGACUGGAGAGGAGACUGGAAUUCAUGGUGUAGCAGUGAAAUGCGUAGAGAUCAUGAGGAAGACCAGUGGCGAAGGCGGGUCUCUGGACAGUUCCUGACGCUGAGACACGAAGGCCAGGGGAGCAAACGGG
rnacentral:rRNA from 1 species